ACGAACGCUGGCGGCGUGCUUCACACCUGCCAGUCGCACGGAAAGGCCCUGCUUUUGUGGGGUGCUCGAGUGGCGAACGGGUGAGUAACACGUGAGUAACCUGCCCUUGACUUUGGGAUAACUUCAGGAAACUGGGGCUAAUACCGGAUAGGAGCUCCUGCUGCAUGGUGGGGGUUGGAAAGUUUCGGCGGUUGGGGAUGGACUCGCGGCUUAUCAGCUUGUUGGUGGGGUAGUGGCUUACCAAGGCUUUGACGGGUAGCCGGCCUGAGAGGGUGACCGGCCACAUUGGGAUUGAGAUACGGCCCAGACUCCUACGGGAGGCAGCAGUGGGGAAUAUUGCACAAUGGGCGGAAGCCUGAUGCAGCAACGCCGCGUGCGGGAUGACGGCCUUCGGGUUGUAAACCGCUUUCGCCUGUGACGAAGCGUGAGUGACGGUAAUGGGUAAAGAAGCACCGGCUAACUACGUG
rnacentral:rRNA from 1 species